GAUGAACGCUGGCGGCGUGCCUAAUACAUGCAAGUCGAGCGAACAGAUGAGGAGCUUGCUCCUCUGACGUUAGCGGCGGACGGGUGAGUAACACGUGGAUAACCUACCUAUAAGACUGGGAUAACUUCGGGAAACCGGAGCUAAUACCGGAUAAUAUAUUGAACCGCAUGGUUCAAUAGUGAAAGACGGUUUUGCUGUCACUUAUAGAUGGAUCCGCGCCGCAUUAGCUAGUUGGUAAGGUAACGGCUUACCAAGGCAACGAUGCGUAGCCGACCUGAGAGGGUGAUCGGCCACACUGGAACUGAGACACGGUCCAGACUCCUACGGGAGGCAGCAGUAGGGAAUCUUCCGUAAUGGGCGAAAGCCUGACGGAGCAACGCCGCGUGAGUGAUGAAGGUCUUCGGAUCGUAAAACUCUGUUAUUAGGGAAGAACAAAUGUGUAAGUAACUAUGCACGUCUUGACGGUACCUAAUCAGAAAGCCACGGCUGACUACGUG
rnacentral:rRNA from 1 species